UUUUAAUUAAACUUGGUCAAAGAAUAAUUAUCAAAUUAAUAAUUGUAACUGUACAAUCAAGUUACAAUAUGUGAUAGAGUAUUAUUAUAACUGUAGCUCCAUGGGUGAUUCUUUGGCUGUCCCCUGUUUUGAUGCCUUGGGCCAUUUCUUGUAGUACAUAUAACAGGGUUUUUUUCAGGAUUUUCUCUUGGAUCCGUUUUUGCAGAGAAGUUUGAAGAGCAGAUUGAGUUUAGCUGAACAUCUGUGGUAGUUGCACCCCCCCCCCUACCGGGGGGCUGACACUUGUACUCAACAAAUGUAGUUGAGACGGAAUGUGUUAAAGCAGGGGCAUUGAGGGACACUAUAAACUGGUUAACGAUGGCGAAUGCAUAGUUUUUCUUGUGUUGUGAGAUGAAUUCCAGCCAUUUUUUUUUAAUUGUCGGGUUUCAAACUAAAAACUAAUUUCCACACGUCACAAAUUUAACUCAAACAACUUCAUUUUUACUGCACUGAAACUUUGGUGAGAAGAUUGAGUUUCAAAACUCAAUUCAAGAUUGAGUUCUUGGGGCCGUUUAACGGCCCUAAAAAAUCCCUGAAAAAAAGCCUGAUAUAAGACUCUGGAGAAAAGUCAUUGUUAGUUUUUCCAUUUACGGUAGGUCUGGCAAGUGCCACCACUACUAUAACACCACUAUUCUUGUUAUUUGAACAUUCCAAAGAACUUGUCCACAUGACUUACACCCGGAUCACCCUAAAUGAGAAAUGUCAAUUAUAUUUAUAAAAUAGUGACAGCUAGUAUCAUUAGAACACACUUUGAAGAAAUAGUGAGUCACAUAUACCAGGCUCCAAAGUCCAAUUACAGGGAAAUUUACUGUAGAGUAGACAUUAUUUAUAUGUUAACCCAUUCAGCAUGUACCACUG